rnacentral:rRNA from 1 species
CCUACGGGAGGCAGCAGUGGGGAAUAUUGGGCAAUGGGCGCAAGCCUGACCCAGCAACGCCGCGUGAAGGAAGAAGGCUUUCGGGUUGUAAACUUCUUUUAAGGGGGAAGAGCAGAAGACGUUCUCCUUGAAUAUGCCAUGGCUAACUACGUGCCAGCAGCCGCGGUAAUACGUAGGUGGCAAGCGUUGUCCGGAUUUACUGGGUGUAAAGGGCGUGCAGCCGGAGAGAUAAGUCAGAUGUGAAAGCCACGGGCUCAACCCGUGAAGUGCAUUUGAAACUGUUUCCCUUGAGUGUAGGAGAGGUAAGCGGAAUUCCUGGUGUAGCGGUGAAAUGCGUAGAUAUAAGGAAGAACACCAGUGGCGAAGGCGGAUUACUGGACGAUAACUGACGCUGAGGCGCGAAAGCGUGGGGAGCAAACAGGAUUAGAUACCCUUGUAGUC